rnacentral:misc_RNA from 1 species
CUGCAGUGUUGUAAAAAGCCGCGAAAAACAGCUGUCUAAACAACAACAUUGCAAUUCGAGUUGGAAUUUGAUAUUUACAUGAAUUUGGUUUAAAAUGUCGGCGUUCAUGGAAGAAACAAAGUGCUUGCUGCCCCGGAUCGCCUUCAUAGCAUGCGGCUGCUUCAGUCCGCCCACGCCAAUGCACCUCAGAUUGUUUGAGAUAGCCAGGGAUCACUUUGAGAUGCAGGGGACGCACAAGGUGGUGGGCGGCAUAAUCUCACCCACCCAUGACUCAUAUGGAAAGAAGGGGCUGGUUUCAUCGCUGGACCGCUGCGCUAUGGUGAAAUUGGCCGUUCAGAGCUCCAACUGGAUACGGCUGUCCGACUGGGAGGUGCACCAGAGCCAGUGGAUGCGCACACAGUCUGUUCUGCAGUACCACCAGAACUUCAUGAACAACUACAUCAACUCUCCUUCUGGUGCUGGAGAUGCAGAGCCAAACGGUGCCCUUCCUGGAUGGCUUCCCACUUCCCUGCGAGAGCGCAGCGAUCCAGUGCAACUAAAGCUGCUGUGUGGGGCAGACUUACUGGAGUCCUUUGCCGUGCCUGGUCUCUGGGAAGAUGCCGACAUUGAGGAUAUUGUGGCCAACCAUGGCCUGGUGGUCAUUACUCGCUGCGGAUCCAAUCCCGAUAAGUUUAUAUUUAAUUCGGACAUUUUAACCAAAUAUCAGCGAAAUAUUACUCUGAUUACUAAUUGGGUGGCCAAUGAAGUGAGCUCCACGCUGGUGCGACGUCUUCUGAGUCGCGGCCAGUCGGUGAAAUAUCUCAUAGACGACCUGGUGCUGGAGUACAUCAAGCGUCAGCGAUUGUUCAACGUUAAAUCGCAGGAUGCACCGGCACCGCCCGGGGGCGACUCUUGACGCGUACUGCAGCAGCAGCAAGCGCAGAAGCAGAAGCAGAAGCCGCUCUACCAUCGUCACAAUCAGCACCUACCACCCACCCACCAGCACCACACGCAAAUAUCUCAAGCCCUUCUAAUGCAGUGGCGUCUCUUCAUGGAGUUAAGUAUAUAACGGAUGCAGUGCGUCCAAAUCAUUUGAUCUUUAAUCACGCCUACACGGACAACAACAAGAACGCUACGAGCUCCCUCA